CGUAAAACACAGUGGCAAUAUCGUAACCAAUGAAGUUCAUAUGAGGUGCGAUUAUUGCUUAUUGAAAACUUAAACAUUAGUACUUACCGAAAUAUCUUCCAAAUACUUUGAUACAUCUCUUAUUAUUUUUGAUCAUUUUAAUAUG